rnacentral:lncRNA from 10 species
GUCAGUAUGGUUUAUGUGGUUCCCUUGACUUCCCACUCAACUUACUUAAGACGAAAAGAAAACCAUCAGCUCUUUUCACCACGCACAAACACCAACUUGACAGUCCUGUCUGAACCUUUCUACCUCAACUCUUGUGUUCACAAGAACACCAGGCAUUGUUUUCAAUCCCAGAUGAAAACUCCAAACACGUUUGCCUUUUGCAUCUUGGUGUUGGAGUCACCAGGGGAAACACGACACGGUUCAGCACCAGGUGGAACAAUGCUUUCCUUACAUAGAGAAGACACGGAGCAAGAUCAACUUCAGCGGUGUGAGUUGGUUCCCGAUGGCUAGUGGGUAUUCCUUGGCAGCUAACUCAGAGCAGUGUGCCAACGUGCACCCAUCUUUUGGGGUGGGGAAAGGACUAUGACCAGGCCUGAGGGAGUACCUGAGAGCCAUUGAUGAAUAUGCUUAAGCAGAAAAAGGGAACACUCACAGAAUCAGAAACAGAAAGAUAUUUCCACACAGGCGAUAAGCCUGGUACCUGCCAUGUGGAUACUUUAUCUCUUGGUAAGAUGGUGUUCCAGGCUCAAGGCCCAUUCUUACGUAGCAGCCAACGGGGUCAAAAGACACAUAAAACUGCACAUAAAACUGCCAUAAAGAAUCUCAUAGUGAUGACUAUGAGAU